AUACCUGCAAUGAUGAUGACCAAACGAGCAAAGUUAACUUCGUGUCGCUCGCUACCUUUUCCGAAGAAGC
rnacentral:sRNA from 1 species